rnacentral:lncRNA from 1 species
UAUCAGAUGUAUGUGUUGACUAGAGCUAGAGGAGAAAAAGGAAAACCCUUGUUGCCACAAAAUCAAUCAAAUUGAAAGGGAAUUGAAGCCUGAUUGUAUGCAUGGAUUAAGAUUUAUGACCAACUAAGUGUUCUUAUCACCAAAAUUGGAACCACACAAGCAUGGACCAAGCAUGGAAGGCUAACGGGUCAAGAUGAGGCAAGGAAGCGGUUACGAGCACAGAUGCACAAGGUAAGUGACUUCCGACUCACUUCUUACUAUACUUAAGAACUUUCUUGUUUAUGAAUGAGGGGAAAUCAUGUAUGGUAUGAAAUGAAUGAAGGUAUUAAGAUAAGUAGCGAUCUAGAUAGUUGAAGGUAGUUUGUGGGACCAAACGGGUCGAAUAAAUAAGAAAAAGUGAGGUAACGGUAAUAAAUUUGUAAUGAUUAAGGACCCGGGGUAGGGAUUCUUAGUCUAAUAUGUAAGGAUUUGUUUUACGAAUGUUUAGGAUCAAGUUUCAAGUGAAACGGAGGUAAAACGAACAAUUUAUGCGAAUUUUAGUGUUAAAGUGGAUAGCUGAUCUGGGCAUCACCGUAGCUUACGGUGCCCACCGUAAGCUACGGUGGGAGCUGGGAUUUUCUUUCUGCCGUAAGGCAGUUUAAAGUUGCUGUAAGGCUUUUGGGGCCACCGUAAGCUACGGUAGCCACCGUAGCUUACGGUGGAGGUCAGAUGUAAAUGUAAAGCUUAUGGAAUUCUUUGUUUUUCCUUCGAAUUCGGACCCCGUGAAUCUAUUCCAAGCCUCGUUAAGUCUUUAUAAUGUUCCUCAACCCUACCGAAAGGUUUGGUAAGUUACGGGUGAGUACGGAACUCAUUCUUAAGAUUCGAAACAUACCCGAAAGACGUUUAUGUAUAUACGUUUAAUGUUCGAGUUAGUAUAUAUGUAUGAAUGCAUUCAUGUAAUUCUGCAAGUAUAUAUGUAAGUAUGUGAGUAGGUAUGUUAUAUGUAGUUAUGUAUGUAUGUAUGUAUGUAUGUGAGUAAGUAUGUAUGUACGUAGUUAUGCAUGUAUUGUAUACGUGGUUUCAAUACAUUUAAGUAUUGACGUUACUAACAGUGUGCCUCGAGAACGAAAUGUAGUGCAGGUACUCUAUUGAAGUUUCGCCAAGGAUUAGCGUUAGACACCUGGAUGGAAUGACUAAAUCUAGAAAGAUAACAGGAUGGAAAGUUGUACAAAUCACAGAUUAUCAUCAUGAGAAGUAGCGAUCAAAGAGCGAGUCACAAGAUAGAUUGUACGGAAAUACUUGAGUGUGUAAAUUGAUAGACAUAAGUUAUGGUUCUUUUUUUUUUUUUUUUUUUUUUUUUUUGUAAAUGAGUACGAAUGAUGCUUAUAUUGUAAAAGAGUUAUUUUAUAAUGAACUUUCAAGUAAGUCAAAACAUUA